AGUGGGAGUUUGAGUGCAAGACUUGUUUUUAUAUAAAUAUAUAUAAAAACAAGUCAUGCACUCAAACUCCCACU